UACGUAGGGCGCGAGCGUUGUCCGGAAUUAUUGGGCGUAAAGAGCUCGUAGGCGGUUUGUCGCGUCUGCCGUGAAAGUCCGGGGCUCAACUCCGGAUCUGCGGUGGGUACGGGCAGACUAGAGUGAUGUAGGGGAGACUGGAAUUCCUGGUGUAGCGGCGAAAUGCGCAGAUAUCAGGAGGAACACCGAUGGCGAAGGCAGGUCUCUGGGCAUUAACUGACGCUGAGGAGCGAAAGCAUGGGGAGCGAACAGG
rnacentral:rRNA from 1 species